CUGCGAGGAGCGAUUGAACUCCGAGCCCUGCUCGGCAGGCUCCAGCUGACGGGCUAUUUUUUGCCGUGGUUGACUAAAUAUGGUCAGGGAGGGAAGAGCAGGAGCAGGGGCCGCGCGCCCGGGGUGAGGACUAAUCCCAUCCCUGGGCCUGCUCUCUGUUCCCUUCCUGCAUUAGAGAUUGGCUAUAAGGAGAAGGCUGACGGCUGCAGCAUGAAGCGCAUUAUUACCUUGUGAUUCCAUGACCCUCCUCUAUGCAUCCCUAACUCUCGAAAGCUGAUUCAGCUUUCAGCUAGUGCUCUGGUGAGUCCUCUGCUGCAACAGAAGCUCCUAACUGGUUAUCUACAACCAGCUGAGUACCAGGAAGGAGCUCUCCUGAAUCUCAGCCUUUGAAACUGGAGAAGGCAAAAUUAUAUCUCUGGUCCUGCGAGGGCGGCCGUGAGACGGGCUAUGGAGACAAUCCUGCUGGGUGGAGAAGGGGAGAUCUCCCUGCUGGGAACCUUGGAAUCCAGCAUGUCCCCAGGACCAUUACACCAUAUCCAUUUCUAAAUCCUGAUUUGGAGGCUGCUAUUGGCAUUUCACAUCCUCUGAGGAGUCUGUGCCCGGCGGCAAACCGACAUUCACUUCCCCCCGCAUGACAUAAUGCCUGUUUUCAUCCUGCCUAGUGGAUAUUAAAAAAGAUAAUGUCAGCUGAAAAACAAAAAAAUGACAUCACUAUUGAGCCACUUUACAGCUGUCUGUGCUUCUCUCUCUCGUGUGUCUCCAUCUUCACAUCCCACUUUGUUGCCUGUUGCUCACCAGCCCAAGGACCUUCCUGUAGCCACUGCACAAGGAAAGGUCCCUCCUGUCCUCUUGUCUCCCAUGCCCACAGCAGGCAGCUCGUUGUACUCCUCUCCUGAAGGCCAUACCUUUACACAUUCCUCUGACACUAAGUAAAUGGUUGGCGAGUUCUUGUGAAUCAUAACAUUUCUAAAUAUAUCAAAGAGGCUCUUUGCCAAGCUGCUGGAGAAGCAGGGAACACACUUUCCAGGGAGGGUUAGCGGGUGAGUCACUGGAGCUGCAAGCCCAGGAUGUCCCAGGUGGGUCCCCAGGCUGUGGCACACGCGGCGCUGUUGCAGCGAAAUGGAUGAGCCUGGUGGUCUGCAGGGAAGAAGGGAAACCUGAUUCAUGUCUACCAGUCUGGUGCAGAGGGGAUUUUGGAGCAGCAGGUCACGGUGAGCCUUGUUCCAGGUGUGCUUUCAUCCCCCCACCUCGGACAUGUGCAUCACGUCCUGGGACAUCCUCGCAGAGGGGACACCUUCAGCAGCACCAGUGGCUUCAUGUUUCAUAUGAAUAAACCCCUUUUCCACACUGGGCACUUAAACGCUCUCCUUUCAGCUUUUCCUCGGGCUGGGCCGGGCCGGUGGGGUGCGGAUCCUCCCGCCCUCACCUGCCUGUGGCGAAGGCUGCCCUCUCCCGACGCGCCGGGAUCCGAGGGAUCUGAGCUGAGCGGGGCCAGCAUCCCCUGCCAGCCCACCCUGCUCCCGCUGCACCGUGCACAGCCCAGCGCUGUCCCGCCCAUGAGCACAGACCAGCAAAGCCUCGAGCAUCCCCCGAGGUGCCCGGCCCCAUCACCGCCUGCCCCUGAUGCUGGAUCCAACCCGCACCCCUCUCUAGCAUCAGGGGGAUGCUGCUUGAAGAACCUCCUUUUUAUCUGAUCAAUCCCAGCCCUUCCAAACCUGCCCAGUACCUUCUUCCUUUUCGUUUCUUUUUCAUAAUCUGGUAGUGUAGGUGUGAGUGCCGUACUCCUCUGAGUUAUCUUUUCCCAGCUGAGUCUGUUUGUGCUGCAGACUGUGUGGGUGACACCCCCGGGAAAGCCAUGUUUAGCAGCGCAUUGCUCCAGGAAAGUGUUUUUAUAUGAACAGAGAUGUGAGACAAACUCUUGCACCUCUGGGGCUGGCAAACAGCUGAUCCAUGAGAGAUUACUUUUUUUUCCCCCCUUGUGAUUUUGACCUUAUUUGCUGAAAGUGAAACAUCACCCAGCCUUCCAGGAAAUACCACAAAUCUUCUAUCUGACAUGAGAACAUAAAUCUUCGGUAAGGGUUCAUCCAUUCUGCAUCUCAGGUCUCUGGAACUGAGCUGUGGACACUGGAGUAGGAAUCUCAGCCUCCUGAAUCCAGGGCUGCUGAACCUGAGCCCGUGCACUUCCCCAACCUGGGGAAAAACAUCCCCAUGGGGUUGGCCCUUACUGAGCUGGUUCUGCACCAGUUCCUCUUGGAAAAAAGGCAGGGGAAAUUUGCCUGAAUCACCUUGAGCCUCUUAAAUUUUUGUGGGAGACGUGAAACCCUUCCCCUCCAGCUCUGUGUACCUGGCUGAAAUGAAACACAGCUUUACAGCCCAGAGUAACCCACCUUCCCAUGCUUCAGCCUCCCCAGUCACCUCGUAGGAGAGGCUGUUGCACUGCAGAGGUUUCGGGCUCUGCACCCCAAGCUCAGCAGGGCAGCCCCAGCUCACACCUCCGAGAGCACAUUUCCUGAGAGGAUGCCUGUGGGUUCCUGACCUUGCCUGUGCACCAGCCUUUGUGGGUUGUGCCCCCACCCUGCUUUUUGGGGGACCACAGAGGCCUUUCUGAGAAGGCAGUGGAGCAGCUGUGGGACUCACAAGUGGUUAUUUGACUAUAAGGGGUUAUUUGUGGGAAGACGUGACUGCGAAAUUUUCCACCUCCCAUCCUCCACGGGUGGUUUAGGAGGUUCUUUUGCUCAAGAAGUUCGUGCUUUUACUUUUGCUCCCCCUGGGCUGUAUCCUUCAGUGUGCAAACCUCUUUGCUUCAUGGCUCCUUCCCAGAGUAGGGGCACCCAAACCCCACUGGACCCGGGGAAGGACUCAAAGCCACCUUUGCACUUUGCUGUGUGUCCCUCUGGAUCAGUUCAGUGACAUUCCCAACCCUCAGCCUGCUGGGGAUUAUGGCUUUAACUGAUCCCGCAAUUAUACACUCCAAAGGCUCCAGAAAGCAAAAGUUUAUUUUUUUUUCUGCCUGGACCACUUUUCCUUGUUUUACCACUAGAUGGGAGAGUGAGACUGGGCUAACUCAGCUGCUCCCCCCUUAUCCCGGUAGGAAUUCCGAGGGGAGAAGAGAACUGAGAGAUGCCUGAAGGUCAUCCCGCAGAUCCUCCCAGCUCAGGAUCGGGUAGCUCCCACAAUGGCUAAUUGUUGCUUCACCCCAAAAGUGCACUGUUAAGGGGCACUAAGGCUUGCCUGGUGCUUUCCCAAAAUACCAGGAACCCCGUGGAUCCCGCUCUGACCUCAUUGAAGGGGGAUUCACUUACACAAAGAUCAGAUAUAUUCUUGGGGUGAAACACUUCAUAUUUUUCCUCAAAUCCACCUGUCCUGGAGCAAAGGGAGAUAGGGAAAACACUUGCAAUUCUUUCCUCUCAUCUGUACCCCAAAUCCUGCUUCCCAGGAAUCAUGGGGACCCCAAAAAUUGUUUGGAGAGGUUAAAAAGCCACAGAAUGGCUGGGGCUGGAAGUGACUUUUGGAGAUCAUAUGUUCAACACCCAACAGGUAAAUAUAAAUAAAGCAGCAUUUUCUCCUCUUCUCCUUCUACAGGAUUUUCUUUCUCCUACAGGAUUCUUGUGUAAGGAUCUUCCAGUGAUACCAUUUUUCCUGCAGAAAAUAAAACUGGGCUGUUGCAAUGAUUGCAUGAGCAGGAGGAGAAUUCAUGCCUUGGUCUGACAUCGCUCACCUCGGGAGCUGCUGUGGGUCAGGGAGGGGAAUUCCCUAGUUUGUUAAUGUCUCAGUAAAUUUACUUUAAUUGCAGCACUUCCCAACUCCUGAGACUUCCAAGGUUUUGCUGAGACUGGGUUUAUUUAGGAAUUAUAUAGCUGCAGAAGCAGUUUCUCAACCCAAUCAGAUUGUCCAGUUAUUUUUAUUAUUGUUAGGUUUGGGGCUUUAAAAAGGAACAUUUUGCUUCCUGGGAUUUCACAGAUUUUGCAAGAAACCUCACAGUAGACAAAUUUUCCAACUGCCUGUGUGACUCCAUCAGAAGAUGCAAUCCCUGUAAAGUGGAAAUUAUCUUUUGGAGGGUUUUACCCUCCACUCAACCUUCUUAAUUUGCAAAUUCUUUAGAGAAGUGACUCAUCUUAUUUGUUUAAUGCCUGGCAUAGUUGGGCAAUGAGAUGAAAUAAUUCUAAUAACUUCCUGAACUGCAGUACCCUUGUUGCCUCCAUUGGGGUCUCCUGGCUUUGCCAGCACAGGAAAUAAUUGACAUUAUCCUGCUAGACAGAAAUAACAGCUUUAGAAGACAAACUCUGGGUUUUUACUGGAUCUAUCUACUCUUAUUUUCCAUAAGCAACAGCCACCCCACCCUGGAUGUGCAACAAGGCCACUGAGUCACCAUGGAGGAGUGACCAGCUCAUUUACCUCCCAGGGGAAGACGAAAAAUCCCCUCCAGAGAAAAGAGGAGACAUCUUCCUUCAGUUGAUAAUUAGAGGUGGAAAAAAAUAAAAAAAAAGACAUUCCAGACUUGGAUUUUUAAAAUCAACCAGAAUUAGUGUUAUCACUUAUCUGAGAAAGUGAUAGAAUUAGCCUCGUGAUUUCUUCUCCAUGUUUACAGGGAUAAUAUUUUUCCAAAGUUCAAAGUCUUCCUCUGCAGGAAGCAUGUGAUUUGCAGUCACACCAUAUUUUGGUGCUAUGAACAAUUAAAAAAAUCAAUUUCUGGAGCGAUAUUUUCUAUGUUUAUAAUCUCUGAACUAAUUACAGGACUGGAAAAUCGAUAGCUAUCUGGAAAUCUUUCCAAUACGGCCAACUAAGCAUGCUAGAGAUCAUGCUGGAAUAUAUUCUUCCCAAACACAUGCUGCUCCUGACCAUCUCCCAGAUCCCAGCUGAUAUCACUGUCAAUAAACCUCUGUACCUCAUUGCACUGCAGUAGUAGCAUUUACCAAAAUCUGCAGGGGGCAUUGGGCUGAGAAAAUUGCUGCAAGCUGGAGCAAUGCUUGUGCCAGCAUUUUAAGCCAAUGACAAAAAAAAGUUGAAAGCUUGAGUUAGCUUGACAGGAACCUAAAAAAUUAUUAUGAAAUAAAGCAAUUAAAAGUCCAUGCCGUAGUUAUAAUGUUUUUUUUUUCAUCAGGCUUUAUUAAAAUAAAAAGUAGAACCUUUGGUGACUGAAAACAGCCUCCUUCUCUUGUUUCUUAGCAAGAGAGAAGCAGAGUUAAAUGGGCAGGUUGAUGGUGAUUACACUUCAGAAACACACAUAAAGAGGAAGGGUGUUGCUCUGAUGAACAGAUCUCCUCUUGCUGUACAAACACACUCUGUUGACCAUGGCAAAUGAGCUGGAACCAGAGCUCAAACCCUUGUGCUGGUGCUCUCCACCACUUCCCACACACCGCAGGCAUUGCCAGGAGCCUCUCCAGGAUGCUGCCGCCUCCCUCGUGCCCUGUGAGAGCUCAGUGUGCUCUUCCUUGCUGUGCUGGAGCUUGUGCUGCUGCUAAAUGAGGACUAAAUAUUCCCCCUGGACACCGUGCCAAGAGCACAGCAAGAGGAUAAGAAGCACAGAUCUGGGUGCAGGGGAUUUUCCCCACACUCCCAUUUGCACUCCUGCUUGGUACAAGAAUGUGAUGAAUUCUGAGCUCUCACAGUGCCACAAAGUAUUUGCUCUGAUUUUAUAUGUUUUUCACUGAUUAUUCUUCAGAGCUUUUUCUCUCCAGUGAACUGAGCAGAGGAAAAGCAGGACUGGGACACAUCUCUGCCCUCACUGCCUCGCCAAGCUGGGGGAUUCCCACAGCUCCCCAAGGGGGGGAUCCUCAUCCUGGAGUGGAGUUUUGUGUCUAGCAGCCCAUGGAGGUAAGGGGCAGCAUAUGCCUUGUCCCAGCCCUCAUCUCAGAAGACAAAUCAUGAUUUAUAGUCCCUCCUAAGUAAGAAUCUGGGAGGCUGGUUAUGCUCAAAGAAUUUAAAUUUUGGAGCAGAACACGAUGCAUGCAAUGAUCUGGAUUGUAAAUACUAUUAUUAAUUUUUGUUUGCACUUCUGUAGCACUCGCAUGUGCAGCUGAUGAGCUCCUCUGCACACAGGGACAGAGGAAGGAGCCCUUGAGCUGCUGACAGCCUGCCCAGAACAGCGGGCCCAGACCUGAGAGGGGCCAGGGGUGUUGAGGGCAACAGCACCCAGAACACACCAGUGGUGUGGCUUUGCCAAUCUGGGCUGCUUUCUGCCGAAAACCAACAGUUACAAAAGCAUUGUGUUCAUCACCACCACAGUGAAAAUCUCCCUGUGAACUGCUGAGGCUGAAAUGUCCUCGGUGGGGAUGCAGAGCUGCCGGGGGCCACGCUCUGCUCUGACUCUGCAGGGACAGCCCUACAGCUGCUGCACUCAGCUUCAGCUUGUGCUCCCUGCAGAUGAUGGUGUCUUUGGACUCUGCUAUCAUUCUUGACAGUUUAAUGUCAUAUUUUGUCCCAAUAAAACUCAGCUGGAGUGUGAGAACUCACUUCUGUUUCUUUCUUAGGAAAGGAAGUCUGAGGUGUCUGCACAUCGCCUAAGGGGAAGUACCUGAGGAAAAAGAGCUCAGACCCAUCAGAAAUCUUUCAAAGAGAAGCUCCAGCUCUCCCUUAUCUCUUUUAAAACUAACACAUCAUACUUUGCACAUGUUGAGCGCCAAAGUUCCUAAUAUAGCUUCCCAAUUACCCCCAGGCCCAGUGGGGCAGUGCUGUUAUUUUAAAAAAGGGUGAGAGCAGGACACUCACUCCCCUGGCCAGGGACAGCCAGCACCUCAGGGACACCCUGAACUAGAAGUUUGCACAGAGAUUAUGGGGUUUAACAGCCACCAAAACACGUGUCACCCAUGAAUUUGUAUAAUUCUUCCUUAAGCACAGUUACACUUUCGGCUCUGUGAUGCCUCUGCCACAAGAUGCUAUUGUUUAAUCAGCAGCCACUUCAAACCUCUUUCCUCACCCUUAUAUUUACAGGGACCUUUGCUCUUGUAAUAAGGAAAGAGCAUUGUAAUAAUGCAGCUGUUAUAAUAAUGCAGCUCAUAGACAUGAGCAGGACAGAUUCUGAUGGUCCAGUUUGCAAAGACAGCAGGGUCUCACAACAGGAUAACACAAAGUCUGGUAAAAUCCAGGGGGGGAUUUUCAGAAGUGCUAAUCUCAUGCAAACCAGCACCAGCAGUCUUGAAAAAUCCCAUCUAUAUUUGCUAUUUAUUAUAUGUUUCCUGUGAAUGAAUUUCUGGCUCAAAUUAGACUUAUAAUAAAACACAAAAAAUUCUGCUUUUGGAAAAAAAUAAAUCCAGAUCUGUUCUUUCUUCCUGGAGAUUUUUUGUU